rnacentral:rRNA from 1 species
CCUACGGGUGGCAGCAGUGAGGAAUAUUGGUCAAUGGGCGGAAGCCUGAACCAGCCAAGUCGCGUGAGGGAAGAAGGCCCUACGGGUCGUAAACCUCUUUUGCCGGGGAGCAAGGGCGGGGACGUGUCCCGGCCCGGAGAGGACCCGGAGAAAAAGCAACGGCUAACUCCGUGCCAGCAGCCGCGGUAAUACGGAGGAUGCGAGCGUUAUCCGGAUUUCUGGGGUUUAAAGGGUGCGUAGGCGGGCUUUUAAGUCAGCGGUAAAACUUCGGGGCUCAACCCCGUCCGGCCGUUGAAACGGGGGGCCUUGAGUGGGCGUGACGCAGGCGGAAUGCGUGGUGUAGCGGUG